GGGUGAGUAACGCGUAAUCAACCUGCCCUUCAGAGGGGGAUAACAACGGGAAACCGUUGCUAAUACCGCGUACGAUUCACAGGCGGCAUCGCUUGUGAAUGAAAGGUGGCCUCUAUAUAUAAGCUAUCGCUGAAGGAGGGGAUUGCGUCUGAUUAGCUAGUUGGAGGGGUAACGGCCCACCAAGGCAAUGAUCAGUAGCCGGUCUGAGAGGAUGAACGGCCACAUUGGGACUGAGACACGGCCCAAACUCC
rnacentral:rRNA from 1 species